rnacentral:rRNA from 1 species
GGGAUGGACGCACCGCUGGUGUACCAGUUGUUCUGCCAAGGGCAUCGCUGGGUAGCUAUGUGCGGACGGGAUAAGUGCUGAAAGCAUCUAAGCAUGAAGCCCCCCUCAAGAUGAGAUUUCCCAUUCCUAUAAGGAAGUAAGAUCCCUGAAAGAUGAUCAGGUUGAUAGGUCUGAGGUGGAAGUGUGGCGACACAUGGAGCUGACAGAUACUAAUCGAUCGAGGACUUAACCUAAA